AAUUUGGGUGCAAGUGGCGCGUGUACUAAUGGUGAUUAGCAGAGAAGGCAAAGUUAAAAUCUGUGCAUGACUGCAAUUUAGAAAGCUACGCGGCAGGUUGGAAUUUUAAUGGCGCCAGUACGACAAAGAAAUGCGAAAGGCUUGAAUUCUACUGAGAUAGGGAAGAAAAUCAAAAGAGGUAAUGCACUGCGUCAAGGCACAACUUGGUGGAGUACGAGAGGGUUAACCACGUUGUUGCUGGUUACCCUUUGUUUGUGCGGGGCAGCUACUUGGCUGUAUGUCACUUUGGAUAGUGACAUAACAGAAACAUUGGUCAGCCAGCGUGAGCAUUUGUCUCCCAAACCCAGAGUCUACAUCAUCCAGUGCUCAGAAGACUAUGAAAACUACAAACGCUACCCAGGAUGCACCCCUCAGAAGUGCGGUCGUGCCAUCACAGACGGUGUGGUGACGAGGGAAGAAGCUCAGUUUCUCAGAAGGCUGGCUGAGAGGGGACUUCAGCUGGCCGGAUCGGAGGGAGGAGCCUCCAUCUUGGACCUGCACUCAGGAGCUUUGUCAAUGGGGCCUCAAUUUGUCAACAUUUACAGAUAUUUUGGCGAACAGAUCCAGGAUGUGUUCACAGAAGAGGAUUUCCAGCUUUACAGAGAUGUACGCAAGCGGAUCCAGACAGUUAUUGCAGAGACGUUUGGCUUAGACCAAACGAUGAUGUACCUCACCAAGCCCACCUUCUUCUCCAGGAUCAACUCGACACUAGCCAAGACACAACAUGACGAGUACUGGCACCCGCACAUUGAUAAGGUCACCUAUGGCUCAUUUGACUAUACAUCUCUUCUGUAUCUUUCUGACUAUGACACUGACUUUACUGGUGGACGAUUUAUCUUUAUGGACCAAGAUGGCAAUAAAACAGUAGAACCAAAGGCAGGAAGAGUGUCUUUUUUUUCCUCCGGCUCCGAGAACCUCCACCGUGUGGAGAAGGUGACUUGGGGGACCCGAUACGCCAUCACGGUGUCCUUCACGUGUGACCCCACGCAAGCCAUCGCAGACCCCGCUCUGCCUUGAGGCGGCCACCGGAGACGGAGCGGACGUCAAGGUCCGCCGGCUCAGUCGGCGCCUGCGGAACUCAAGUGGUAGUGGAGAAAAGGGAAACACGAUUACCAAUUUCUUGUUCUUCACACCGAUCCCGUCAACAUCAGGUGAUCAAUAGCAAGUGCGAGAAAAUUGGCAGGAUCAAGCAGCGAUGCUGAUAAGAUGUGAGGGGUUUCAUCGGUCUCCUGUGUUCAAGUCAAUUGACUGUUGCUUAUUACUUGGAGAUUUAGACAGUUUAUGUUCCGCGCAAGGAUUUUACUGCCUUAAAUCUAAUUACUGGUGCAACAAUUUUGUAGUGAUAAGAGCGUCGAUGAAUGUUUGGAAAUCUGCGAGACAUACAGUCAGUGGCGCACUUGGGGCCUAAGGCGAACAUAUCCAGGGGCCCUCUUCAUGGGUCAGGGGUUAAAAAGGUGAGAAGGGUGUGGAGGAAAUAUGUUCCGGUACACUAGGGCUGUCCUAAACGACAGAUUUUCUCCUGAUUAGUCAGCCGACUAGUUUUACGAUUAGUCGACUAAUCUAAUAAUUUUCUUUUUUUUUUUUACUGAUUUAGCAAUGAAAUUUUUGUUGUCGCUUAUUAAUUCACAAAACCAUUUUGGAACGCUUAAAUUCUUUAUUAAAGUACAAAUAAUCAUGUAAAUAACAAUAAUUAAUCACAAAUAAACAAUGAGGUUAAAUGCUGAUAGCAUUUACUAGUGCAAAAAAAUGGAAAGUAAUAAGAUUCAGAACACUGACUUUGCCUUUC